rnacentral:rRNA from 1 species
CCCUUAGAUGUUCUGGGCCGCACGCGCGCUACACUGACGAAUGCAACGAGCUUAUAACCUUGGCCGAAAGGUCUGGGUAAUCUCCAAAUUUCGUCGUGAUGGGGAUAGAUUAUUGCAAUUAUUAAUCUUCAACGAGGAAUGCCUAGUAAGCGCAAGUCAUCAGCUUGCGUUGAUUACGUCCCUGCCCUUUGUACACACCGCCCGUCGCUCCUACCGAUUGAAUGGUCCGGUGAAGCGUUCGGACCGUGGCCUUUGGAAGGUUCGCCGUCUGUUGGCUGCGGGAAGUUCGUUAAACCUUAUCAUUUAGAGGAAGGAGAAGUCGUAACA